GCCAGUGUGGUGUAGUGGUUUGAACACUGGACUAUGAUUUUGGAGACCAGGGUUCGAAUUCCAGCUUGGCCA